rnacentral:tRNA from 2 species
CGGGCCGUGGCGCAGUUUGGUAGCGCGUUUGACUGGGGGUCAAAAGGUCGCAGGUUCGAAUCCUGUCGGCCCGAC